rnacentral:lncRNA from 1 species
GACGGCGGCAGCGCCACCCUGGCCUCCAAGACGGAAGUGCGGAGGGUCGCGCGGCGUUGGCUCCUCGUCGGCCUCCCUCCUCCCCACACCUGCCCCGAAGGCGGCUGCUUUGGAUGGACUAGGAUCCCGAAAAAGACGAGGGGCCUCGCUAUCUUGUCCAGGCGCGUCUCAAACUCCUGGCCUCAAGCCAUCCUGCUCUCCAGCCUCCCAAGUAGCUGGAAUUACAGAAAUUGAAGAAUCAGUUCCAGAGAGAUCUCCUGGAGGGCCUAGGAUCACAGAGCAAAGCAGAAACCACAGCUGUCUCGGAGGACGAAACUCCAGCUCUUCACCCAGAGAUAGUCGUGGGCUGGUGGCUUCAGGGCCCACUAGGGCCUUUGUUAUGAGUUUUCUCUUCCCAGCGGUCCUUUUAUUGCAUAAUCAAUAAACCACUGACAGAAAUAAAAGGCUUCCAG